rnacentral:rRNA from 1 species
UACGUAGGGUGCAAGCGUUGUCCGGAAUUAUUGGGCGUAAAGGGCUCGUAGGCGGUUUGUUGCGUCGGCUGUGAAAUCCCGAGGCUCAACCUCGGGCCUGCAGUCGAUACGGGCAGACUAGAGUGUUGCAGGGGAGACUGGAAUUCCUGGUGUAGCGGUGAAAUGCGCAGAUAUCAGGAGGAACACCGGUGGCGAAGGCAGCUCGCUGGGACGGUACUGACGCUGAGACGCGAAAGCGUGGGGAGCAAACAGG